GACGAACCGUGCGAACGUUGUUCGGAAUCACUGGGCAUAAAGGGCGCGUAGGCGGCUUAUCAAGUCAGGGGUGAAAUCCGGCAGCUCAACUGUCGAAGUGCCUUUGAUACUGAUGAGCUCGAGGGAGGUAGGGGUGUGCGGAACUUCCGGUGGAGCGGUGAAAUGCGUUGAUAUCGGAAGGAACGCCGGUGGCGAAAGCGGCGCACUGGACCUCUUCUGACGCUGAGGCGCGAAAGCGUGGGGAGCGAACAGG
rnacentral:rRNA from 1 species